UGACCUAAAACUGAAAGGAUUUACAUAUCUUUAGGUUAGCAGCUGCAAACAGGAUUAAUUCCUUUGAAUGAUGACAACAUUGUCAGUCAGCGUCAGCUGUUCCUCAGCUCCUUUGCGGAGGGAUAUGAAAAACACGAAGAUGGAGAGGGAGCUGGAGACAGAGCUGAAAACAUGUUGCAGUUCUGCUUUGGGAGUUGUCAGGUCCACCACAUCAAGUGAACAAGAGAUGGAGCAUGCUCCAAGGAGAUCUCUAUGCCAUAGCCAUUGCAGGGGACAAGGUCUACUUCUGGUGUAUUUUGUUCAAUGACAGUGGCUGUCAUUGUCUGGUGACACUACUUGGAAAAACCCUAAAACUCAAACCAUGUGACUGAUUUGCUUAUGACCACAUAUGUUUAAACUAUUCACUUUGAGAAUUUAGUCAUAUGAAAUACAAUAACUACCAUCAGUUAUAUUUUGUUGCUUUCUAAGGUCACUGGAAGACUUGAAGAAGUGCACAGCAUCACCAGGUUUGAUGUGUCAGCUGACCUACUUCUUGCUUGGAUGGAAAUUUGGGUUAGACUUUGGAUCUUCAGGUGAGCCACAAAAAUCAAUGUGGUCCAUCUGGCCCUUUGAAUUACGAAUAAAUAGACUGCUUUUCACAAUAAUACAGAUUUUUAGUGUAAAAAUCUCACGUUCAAAAUUUCCAUUGCAAUUGGAAAUUGCAAUUGCCCAGGUUUCCCAGAGAGGUGGUGGAUGAACCAUCCCUGGAGACAUCCCAGACCAGGCUGGACGGAGCUCUGAGCAACCUGCUGUAGUUGAUGAUGUCCUUCCUCAUGACCAGGACAGUGGACUAGAUGAGCAUUGAUUGGUGGUGGCUUAGUACAGCUGUGAUAACAGUGCCUGAGGCAUCUGAACUUCAGGCAGAUACAGACCGCCACAAACACGAGCAUACACUUCAGCUCAAACAUGCCCUGGAUGCCCACUAUAUCCUGGGCCAUGCCUGAAGGUCUAAACAGUAGGAAGUUGUACCAAAAAUACAGUGACUAUAUAACAUUAAUAUCUGAAUAAUUUUACUGUCAAAAACUUAGAGAGUCAGGUCUAUGAAGGAGAAAGUAUAAGUGCACAUGUUUCACAUUUCGUGCUUACUAUUUAGACUAUGCAUGUCUUAUGACUUCUGUAUUUGCAUAAUGCUGAGGAAAACAAGAUCCAAACUCAUCAGAGACAUUAAAAAUUUAUGGUCUUGGGAGUCCCUAACUCUUGGUCUUGUAAACAGUCUAGCACUUUCCAUACUGAAACAAGCCCUACACAUGCACUGGAAUCACAUACCUUUGUAAACACGGAAACAAACAAACAAGCAAAACCAAACAAAACCCACCAAAAUAACAAAACAAUCCCAAACACACAAAAAUAAUAAUAAUAAAAAAUACAAACCAAAAACCAGACACAAAAAAAGGUGGGUGGCUGUCAGGCUGGAGAAGAACCACCAUGAUCUCUGGCCCUGGAGACAGCGGAAAUGUCUCAGGAAUCGGGAGUAUGAGCUAUGCUAUGGAGUGUUCCCACAAUUCUGCAUAGACAUAACCAUCAACAAUGCAGCCUAAUAGUAAUGGUAAUGAAUAUAGCACAGCCAACAGAAUAGCAGAUGUAUCUCCUUGAUCAAGGAGUGGGAGAAAACAAUGCAGAGGUAAUGCAAAGUAUUCACAUAUUAGUGUCAGAGUUAUAUAUAUAUCUGUGUUUCUGGAGCAGCCAGCACUGACCUGCUGGGAAUUUCAAGAUUGGUUUUGUAUAUUUUUUAUUAUUUUCUCUAUUUUAUUAGUAGCAUUAGUAAAAAGAAAAUAUCUUUUUACAACUUGCAAGUCCUCUCUCUCUUUGUCUCUCUAUGUGUUAAUGUAUUUAGCCUCAAAAUACCCUUGGGAAGUGGAUAAUUAUUAUAUAUAUAUAUAUGUAUAUAUUUUUUUUUUUAAAGAGAGCUGGAAAAAAAAUUGCUACCAGAAAAAAACCCCAACAAAGCAAAACAAAACAAAACAAAAACCAAAACAAAACAAACAGUAGGGGUAAACCAAAAGGAAGAUAUUGCAGAGAAGUUAAGACUAAAACCAGAAAUGUUUAAAGUGCAGUAAUUGAGCAUUAUAAAACAAUAGCCUUCGGAAGAAAAUAGGAAGGACAAUUUUUUACAAUGCAGGGAGUCAUUAGAAUGUUUCAAGAUUCUGUGCAUAGCUAUUUGUAUCUCAGGAUUGUCCAGUGUAUAUAGCUCUCAGUAUAUUUUCUUGAAAUCACAUAAUAAGUUUUAAGUGGUAGUAGGAAAGAAUAACAAAUCUUUUUAAUAAUAUCAAGCAUAUAUAUUGAUUCUUUCACAGCACAAAGAUUCUGUAAAUCUGGCAAGUGGGAGUCUCCUGCCUAGAUAUUUUCAUCUAUUUUCAAUACUCCAGACACUUCUACACCCUUCCAAAACCUGGCUUUGAAACUUAGGUUAGUUUAAGAAACAUAUAAAAAUCCCUGAAGAAUACUUAAGAUCUUGAGAGAUUUUAGAGAUAUCUCAAAACACAUGAAAAGUUUCACAAGUUUUUCUUGGUGUGGCCAUUUCUUUGAUCAUUUAAUAUACACAUUUAUGUUGAAUUUAUCUCUCGUGUGGGCCAUUCCUAGUCUCUGAAGUUCUUUAAUAAGAUUCAAGAUACUUCCCAUUAUACACUCAACAGCCCAGUUGUCUGCCUACAAGAACUUCUAAAAAAAACCAAAACUUUUCCAUGCUUUUUGCAUGUUAAUUCUUCGAUUUUCAGUUGCCAUCUAGGUCAUCUAGGGUGCUAUGUAAACAUAUAGAUUUAAAACUAUAUCCAUACACCUUAAGAGUUUAUGGAGAUAUACUUGCAGAGGUACACCUUUCAUAUUAUUUAGCACAUGUAUUCUUAAAAAAAGCCAGUAACUCCACAGAGGAUUUUUUUUUUGCUGUUGACAUUCGAGUUGUUUUACUUCUGUUUCCUCCCCAGGGAAGAAAGUGAAUUUUCAGCUUUCUCAUUGUGACAUUGUCAAAAUCAACAGUAAAGCAGCUCUAAAACUAUUUUCAUAGAAGUUAGCAACUUAAACAUGAAGUUGAUUCAGGUCAAACCUCUUAGAUGCUGUGCCUUUUUCUACUGACUUGUUUUUAGUUUCAUGAAGCUUCACUGUGCCAUAGUUUUUUUUUUUUUUAAACAUCCUGUGAAAUUGCAUACUUAAAAAAUGCCAAAUAAAAUUCCUUUUAGUGUCUGUGUUAUCCAGAGCAGUGGAUAUACUCCAAUUAACUUACUCUUCUGCAGAAGUUUUCUCACGUGAUCAGGGGGACAUCCAGAUCCCACCAUGAAAUUUGGAGAGGCUAACGUGUGCAUCUACAGUUGUGAAGUGCCUCAGUGUUCCAAGUUUAGCCACACUGAGGCCAAGUAAUGGACUGACACAACCUUAGGUGUGGACAAAAGUGACAGAAUCAAUAAAUGAAAGAAGCUGCAACAUUUAGACAUUUUGGGAAACAAUGCUUUCAAAUAUUUACCAACAAAAAAAACCACACAUCCACAUAGUCAUUUGUAGAAUCAUAGUAAUAGAAUGCCCUGAGUUGGAAAGCACCCACAGGAACCAUUGAGUCCCACUCCUGUCCCUGAACUUGACAACCCCACAGUUCACAUCGUGUGUCUGAGGAUGUUGUCCCAUCUCUUCUUGAACACUGUCAGGCUUGGGCUGUGACACCUUCCUGGGGAGCCUGUUCCAGUAUCCAGCACCCUCUGGGUGAAGAACCUUUUCUGAAUGUCCAACCUAAACUCCCCUUGGCACAUUUUCCUGCCAUUCCCUCAGAUUCUGUCACUGGUCACUAAAGAGAAGAGUUCGGCACCUGCCCUUCCUGCUCCCCUUGUGAGGAAGCUGUAUCCACUAUGAGGUCUGCCCACAGUCUCCUCUUCUUCAGGCUGAACAAACCCUAUGACUUGAGCUGCUCGUCAUACAGCUGCUUCUUCAAACCCUUCACCAACUUUGUAGCCCUUGUAGUAUGCUUCCUGAAAGAUAAUAAUUGUAAUUUCUAACUGUAUAACUUAAAAAUACACCUAUAUGUGUAUUUCCUGUGUCAUUUUAGAUUUAGCUGUAUAUUAAAUUGUAAUACACCUUACAUUGUGUUACUCAACUUUAAAUCAGUCAGAUAUUGUCAGUUAUCUAGAAAAACCCUCUGUGGACUCAAUUUCUGGUAGACUGGAAUUCACCUUGACACUUGCCAUAUACUAAAAGAAAUAGAAUGAAAACUUAUUUACAGGUAUGCUGAUCAGCAAUUUAAUUUAUUUCCACUGAAUUUCUAAUUUUAUAACAGUGAAAUAUGAUCUACUGAAUCUAGUUCUAGUAGUUUGGGGAAAGAAAAAAAAAUCCAGCAAAGAAGGCAGCAAGGGAAAUUAAACUGUCUGUAUAAAUUAAAUUAAUGGUAUUUAUAUUUGUCUACAAAAACAUUAGUGAAAACUGAAAAUACUGUGAUAGUAUUUUCCUGAUGUUUGAAAAGGCAUGCAUCUAAUUUUUAUCAGAAAUAAUCGCUGUAGCAUAACUCUAAGCCCUGUCGCACCAUAGCUACUACUACUAGUCCAUAAAUCAGUUAGUUUAAAAGUAGCUGAGACAGUGCUAUACUACUGUGCAGUCAGAGCCAUAUUUUAAGUUCUCUUGUGUAUCAAGUUCUUUGAACUUACAUUUGAAGACUAUUUCUGUAGUAGGAAGGGUUUUUUUUAAAGAACUAACUUGUUCAUGGGACAAAGACAGGCAUGCAGGGUUUUCCAGUCCUUGGAUCCUGGUUUGAGGUAAGGAAGUGAUGACCAACACCUGGCAGAACCACCUCAUCCUGGGAAAUGAAUUUUAUAUCUCUAUAUAAAGAAGUAGAUAGCUAGAUACCUAGUCAGACAGAUAGACAGAUAGAUAAAUGUCAGGAAAGCUACUAAAUCCAAGACUGUUAAUUAAGAAAGUAAAGUCACCACUCAGAGGAAAAAUACUCCUCAUUUUUUCUCAUCCAACAAAAUUGUAUAUAACCAAAAAACUACUUGCUGCAAUGCUGACUUUGUCCUCCUUCACCAAGCAGCUUACUGCCACUACUUUUUGACAUCUUGCAGUUUCGUCUUAGUCAUAUUUGGUAAAUCUGCUGGUUUUUCAUCAUAUAUUUUCACAAUGGUCUAGGAAAAAUCUCCACAUCUGUCAGAAUACUUAAUUGCCCUACUCUCCAUAUUUAUGCCAGCAGAGAGAAAUUUGUAAGCCAGCUCUUAAAUGAUUUUUACUCUGUUUGGUAAAAAGAGCUGUGAUCUAUUUAACCAUGCCUUCAUUUACAGAAAUGGUAGGGUAGAAUUGCUUAGGCAAUCUGGGUAUUAUUUUGAAAAGACACUUUAUUGUGUGAAAUUUGCUUAGUUACCCUUCACAAAAUUCUCUCUGGAAAGUGCCUAUAUCUGAGAAAAUGAAAAAUUAAGCCAUAAUUCUAGCCCUUAGGACUGAGCUGUAAAAAUGACAACAGAAGGUCAUUAUUUAUGGAAUAUAUCCACAGAAAUCUGAGCCCUUUAUACCCGUUUAGAAGCUAAACAUGAACUGGCUCAAGUUUUUUCAAAUAAAUUGUAUUUCAUUUUAAAGAUAAUACAUUUUUACUAGUCCAGUCUAUGGGAACUGAGCAAUUACGUGUUUGAAAACAUCCAUAGGAAAAUCAAGGUUCCUGAACUGUGGGAAACUACUCCAAGGUACAAAUUUUAUGUGUUUCAUGUUUAACAGCAUUUUAAGACACAUUUUAUAUAUAUAUAUAUAUAUAUAUAUAUAUGAAUGUGGAAAUAAAUUCUUUUUCUUAAUUUGCUCAAAUAAGUUGUUUUUCUUAAGAUGAAACCUAAGACAUCUGAUGAAAAGAUAGAGUUGUGUUUUUAAAAAAAUUCUAGAAUACUGUCCUUAUCUCACUAAGAUGUCUAGAGACUCACGCAGAUGUUCAAGUGGUAAUUUUGAAAGAUCUUAUCUAGAAUUCCAGGAAGAAUAUAUCGCUCAUUUUAUAUCACUUAAAGAAAAGAGGAGAAGAAGACAGCAAACCAGUUCUUAACAGUGGUGAAUAUUUACAAGAAAUACAACUUAAACUUUGUUUGUUUCAGGAAGCUUCUCUGGUUUUGCAUUUCAUUUUAUAGCCAGACAUAUUUAUAAAUAUACACAUACAAAUACUUAGCCAUCUAUAAAUAUAUAUAUGUGUGUGAAAACACUUCUUUUUAUUACAAUUCUUUGUCUCUGCAAAACUAAUAUAGAUCCAGUUGGUUAGUAUAUAGUGUUAGAUGAAAAAUAUUGAUGGUUGGAGACAUAUUCGAGGAUUAACAGGUCUGGAAUGCUAUUUUCUAAAUUCUUCCAUUGAUGAAGUACUUAAUUUUCAAUAAUAAUUUUAUUAGCUUAUUAAUAUUUAUGCUAAAAUUGUUUCUUAGUCAAUGUUUCUCAGAUAGAGAACUUUAACAAAUUCAUGGAUAUUUAGAGCUUGUGCAUAUAAGCAUGUGUUUUUGCUGCUCAUUGUGAGAUGUUUAUGAAAAACAAAAAGGAAAAUACUAGUUUUUUCUUAUUCUGGGGAACUUAUUCUGCAUGAUUACGCACUUCUGUGCUUUAUAACCAGCCAGUCAGACCUAAGCCACAAGAAGCAACAUUCUAGCUUGUGUUUUAGCUAAGGAAGAGAGGUCAAAAGAGGCAUACAAGUAGGAAUUACAACUUCUUUCUUUAUGUUACAUUAUAUUAUAUACCUGAGUAUCAGUAUUAGCAUCCUUUAUAUCAUAUUUUCUCAAAACAUGUUCUUAUGCAAACCCUUUUCAAAUCCCCUAUAAGAAUAUUUAACUUUAUGAUGGCUUCUGUGUCUUGAUGAUCCUGAAUCAGCGCGGUAGUUUCCUUGCUUAGGUGAAGCAGAGAGUUUGCUGUCUCUAACCUCUCCUUACUGAUUAUUUGAAACAGCUCCAUUCACUUGAAUUCUGAACUACAGCAUGAAUUGUGCAUAGAUAACUUCAAUUAAGCUGCUGAACCACAUGAUUUGUAUAGGUAGUGAAUAUAUGCUUGAGAAUAAGAAUGUAUGUAAUGUGAAAAUCAGUUUGUGUAAAGGGUUAAGGAAGUAAAAGAUAUACUCAUAAGUUAUAAAUGCAAAUCAUGUUUUUAAAGAGAAAAAUAAAUCUUGCAAUCAAUAGCAGACAUUGUAAUCUCAUUUUGGGAAGUAACAUGAGUUAAGCAUUGUGUUAUUCAAACAUAGAAUGACUGAAAUGAAAUGCAUAUAUCUUUAUUUGCUAAUCAAGUUUCAGAGAUUUCUGUGUAAAGAGAUUUUUUUCCCAACUAUAGUUAAAACCGAACUCAAGGGGAAAAAGAGAAAAAGGAGUAUAAUAGACUCAGAAGAAACAAAGAUUCAUUAUUUAGACUAUAGGAUAUGUAUAUCUUGUGUUUCUGAACUGAAAAUCUAAAAAAGCCCAAAAUGCAUGGAGUACUUGAAAUUUUGAUAUGUAUAUAGUUUUCAUGUCACAUCAUUAACAGAGA